AAAUUAAUCAUUCAUCACAGCUAAAGUUCAGCAGUUGAAGCAGACAGACACCCACCCGUCUAUACCAACCCAUGUCCAGAAGUAUGAUCAUUAAUGACUCUUCAUGAGCAAAAAAGAAGACAGAAAACAGUUUGUGUCCUGACCGACACUCAGUGUUGAGCAUCAAACCACCGACCAGCUCCCCAAGUGGAUUGUGGAUCCUCCCCUACAGAUCACAAGAAGAUUUGUAAAGAUUGGGAUGCAGCUUGUAGCAGCAGACAUUCCACUUUCAGAGUCCUGAGGGGAAAGGUAAUCAGUGGAGCCGUUCCUGGUUUUCACCAACUACAAGAGACCUAAGAGCAGGAUAUCAGGAAGACAAAGGACUAAAGGGACAUCUAGGUAAGAAAAUAAAAUAUUUACCAAUGAUUUUGGGAAUUAACUUUUGAGUUAGGGAUUUUUUCUUUAGAGCCUCUGUCUCCUCAUGGGAGGGCACAAACCUACAUCACAACCAGGUGGUCACGUGACCAUGAACAGCUU